AGGAGAGCCUGGCCCGCUGCAUGAACUCCUGCAGGAAGCUGGCCUGGACCUCACCUGGCUGGCAGGUGCUGGGGACAGACCCACGGCCCAGCGGAGCAGCCAGGGAGGCCAAAGGGCUGCAGCCCCGGGUCUGGACCCAGGACGAAAGUUUAAAGGACCCUAAGGAAGGCAUCAUUGCCCAGCUCGGGUUUACUGGGCUGCGUGGUGGCUUUGCUUGCUUCCUGGUGAGGACUCCUUCCAGUCGCCUUCCCUCUGUUGUCAGAAGAGCGCUCUCACCACAUCGCCAUCCUGAGAACGAGGCUCUCUCCCUGCGGUCAGCAGGUUGAGGGCGGAAUUUCUUAGGAAGGCAUCCGAGCUCUCCCACCCAGCCCUCACUCCCUGCACCUCUGAGCCCCUCCCAGGUCCUUUGGGAGUCUUCUGCUUCAUGUGCUGGGGAGAAGCAGCAUGGUGGUUCUGACCGACCCUCGCCCCUGGGACCAGCAGGCU
rnacentral:lncRNA from 1 species